UCCUUCAUUCCCGACCCCUCUCAUCUCCCUCACGCGCCGCCUUCUCCCGAUCCUCCUCCUCGUGUUGUCGUCAGCCACCACAGCCUGAUGCCGGACGUCGCAGCCUACCGCCAGAUCGUAGAUUCUUCUUUUCACCGUUCCUCUCCCGAUUCGCCCUCAUCGCGACACAUGAUUGCCGACGCCGACCCCCUUAGCUCCGAUCCAGUUGUCGUCUGUCCAGCCCUAGCCACGGACACCAGGAACUCAUUGGAAAUCGAGCGUGUGAGCCGGUGAUAGUAGGGUUCUUGAGUCUUUUGCCUUUCUUGCGAUUUCUCUGAUUCCUGCUUCUUUAUUUUGAUUGGUCACCGUUUCUUCCGAUCGAUCGAGGCUGAAGCAGCUUGGCCUUGUCGUCGCUUCUUCCCUUUCAUCGCCGGCAUAGAUCUAUGUCAUUGUUGUCCUGAGGGUUGAGUCGUCGUUCUUGUAAGGUUUGAUAUGUGAUCUGAGUCCUAGACUCAACCUGCUGCCACUGGAUCUCUGCACAUCGCAGCCCCGAUCACUAGAUUCUGGUUCCUCUUCAUCGUUGGUACAGAUUUGGUUAUCGAUCCUUUGGGUGGGACAUAUUUCAUACACAGAAUUAGAUUGAGCUCCGGCUAGCACUGUUCACCGGUGAUCCACAGUGUCGGCCAUCUUGUUACAGCUGUGAGCCUCUUCAAUCACGAGCUACCUGCAACUCACUUGAGAUUGGAUUCGCAAGGGAAGGAGUUAGCGAACAGUAGUGGAUCGUUGCUAUUGAUUGUGAGCCACUUUCAGUGACAUCUUGUUGCCAAAUUUAGAGUAAGGACUUUGAUCCGAGAUGAGCGUCUCGAUGUGAGAUCGUUUGACACGAUCGACAUAUAUAGGCGGGUACUUCUUGCUUUAUCUCUUAGUACUUUGUUCUUAGUGCAUGAGCUAUACCUUCGAUAGUUCCUGUAUUUGAUCUAAGAAUCAAAUUCUCAAACUUGUUUUACAUCUUUCAGAUACUCAUAGUGAGAUUGUCACUGGUACAGGGGAGAUGCUGCCGGAUUUUCCUCUGGCAGGGACUCCUUUUGGGCGUGACAAUUUAUUGGUAUAAGAGCUACAGGUUUACGAUGCCUAUUUUCUUGUGUUUUAGAUUUCGUAUUUUGAUUUUCUCGAUGUGACUUUUCGGAUUUUGGGACCAGGCAGCAGCAGGACAUCUCCAAGCUAUAGGAGCCUGUAUCCUUGCUAUGCGUGGUGCUAUUUUGAGGACCAGAGGUGCGAUGGAGAAGGAAGCGAGAUAGAUGCGACGCUUGAUCCAUCGGCGGUACAUUGGAGGACAGCGAUCCAUUGGCGGCAUAUUGGAGGACAGCGUUGGAUGAGGCCAUAAUAGUUGAAAAUUUUAUUUUCAUAUUUAUUGUCUUUAUAUGCUAUUUUAUGUGCUGUGAUGUGUGGGCAUGAUUAAA